rnacentral:rRNA from 1 species
CUGCCCGCGUGCUUACCAUGCAAGUCGAGGGCGGUAGCAAUACCGACCGGCGAACGGGUGCGUAACACGUGAGCAACCUGCCGAGGUGUGGGGGAUAGUCGGCCUAACGGCCGGGUAAUACCGCAUACGCUCUUCCUUUGGCAUCUAGGGGGGAGGAAACCUUUUGGGCACUUUGAGGGGCUCGCGGCCUAUCAGCUAGUUGGCGGGGUAAUGGCCCACCAAGGCGACGACGGGUAGCUGGUCUGAGAGGAUGGCCAGCCACAUUGGGACUGAGAAACGGCCCAGACUCCUACGGGAGGCAGCAGUGGGGAAUAUUGCGCAAUGGCCGAAAGGCUGACGCAGCGACGCCGCGUGUGGGAUGAGGCCCUUCGGGGUGUAAACCACUGUUGCCCGGGACGAACAGCAGAUUUUGAUCUGCCUGACGGCACCGGGUGAGGAAGCACCGGCUAACUCCGUGCCAGCAGCCGCGGUAAUACGGGGGGUGCGAGCGUUGUCCGGAAUCACUGGGCGUAAAGGGCGCGUAGGCGGUUUGGUAAGGCUGUGGUGAAAGCCCGGGGCUCAACCCCGGGUCUGCCAUGGCGACUGUCAGACUGGAGGGCUCGAGAGGCAGACGGAAUUCCGGGUGUAGCGGUGGAAUGCGUAGAGAUCCGGAAGAAGACCGGUGGCGGAGGCGGUCUGCUGGCGAGUCCCUGACGCUGAGGCGCGACAGCGUGGGGAGCAAACAGGAUUAGAUACCCUGGUAGUCCACGCCGUAAACGAUGGGCACUAGGCGCUUGGGGGGAGCGACCCUCUGAGGG